rnacentral:rRNA from 1 species
UGGGGAAUUUUGGACAAUGGGCGAAAGCCUGAUCCAGCAAUGCCGCGUGUGUGAAGAAGGCCUUCGGGUUGUAAAGCACUUUUGUCCGGAAAGAAAUCCUUGGCUCUAAUACAGUCGGGGGAUGACGGUACCGGAAGAAUAAGCACCGGCUAACUACGUGCCAGCAGCCGCGGUAAUACGUAGGGUGCAAGCGUUAAUCGGAAUUACUGGGCGUAAAGCGUGCGCAGGCGGUUUGCUAAGACCGAUGUGAAAUCCCCGGCGUCAACCUGGGAACUGCAUUGGUGACUGGCAGGCUAGAGUAUGGCAGAGGGGGGUGAGAAUUCCACGUGUAGCAGUGAAAUGCGUAGAGAUGUGGAGGAAUACCGAUGGCGAAGGCAGCCCCUCGGCAAGUCACUGACGCUCAUGCACGAAAGCGUGGGGAGCAAACAGGAUUAGAUACCCUGGUAGUCCACGCCCUAAAA